UGACCUCGAUCAGUAGGUCCCCAUUCCC
rnacentral:rRNA from 1 species